rnacentral:tRNA from 1 species
CAAAGUAUAGCUUAAAUAAAAGCACCCGGCUUACACCCGGAAGAUCUCAAAUAAACUGAUUGCUUUGA